rnacentral:lncRNA from 1 species
AUAUUUUUGCAUUUAGAGAAACAAAUAUCGAGUGUGAAAAAGAAUGAAAUAUCACCAAGUGUGAUUGAAAAAAAAUUGGCAAAAUCCAAAAGAGCCUUUUUUUCCAGCUAUGAAACUGAAAAACAAAAAAUAUGCAAACUGAAGAAAAGCAAUAUAUGGUCAGAUGAUGAAGAGGUUCAUUUUGAGAAGACCUCUCAAAGUUCACAAG